rnacentral:misc_RNA from 1 species
AACGCACGAGACCUGCGGACCUGCGGAGGGAUCAUUAAUGAGAAGCUGCCCCUCGUGGGUAGACCUCCCACCCUCUGUGAACUUACCUUUGUUGCUUUGGCAGGCCCGUCCCCUGGACCGCCGGCUUCGGCUGGCCCGUGCCUGCCAGAGGAUUCCAAACCCUGUCUGUCAGUGUUGUCUGAGUCUAUAUGAAAUCGUUAAAACUUUCAACAAUGGAUCUCUAGAUCGGAAGAGCACACG